rnacentral:lncRNA from 1 species
ACCAGUUUUCUGGAGCGCUGUGUGUUCUUAACAGCUGAGCAGUCUGUUUCUCCAAUCAGGUUUCAAAGCCACUUCAACUGCACUGGCCCCUGUGGGUCACUGCUGCACCGCCCUGACCCAUGUGGGUCCCUGAGGAGCGACCUGCCGGGGCCACCUGGCUGGACGAAAAAGACACACCUUGGACUUAAGCCGUGAGAAAAAAACUUCAUCAGUAAGAAGAAUGAAUAAACAGACUAGGUUGAAUCCAUACAAUGGAAUGUUAGCAGACAAUAAAAAGAAAAUGAACUAUUGAUGUCCCCUACUGCACAGCAGAAGCUCUGAAUCGUGUUCCUGAAUGAAAGAAGUCAGGAGUAAUUUUUAUAUUUUUGAUACCAGUACUUUGUUAGAUAUAAGUUUGAGUACUCAGUCCUUGUAAGAGACAGAAAAGGAGAGACACACACAGAGGAGAAGGCUAUGGGAGGC